rnacentral:tRNA from 3 species
GCCGGGGUGCUGAAAUGGUAGACAGGCUAGUCUCAAAAACUGGUGAGCUUUACGCUCAUGAGGGUUCAAGUCCCUCCCUCGGCA